AGAACUCGUAUAUAAUAUCAAGAACUUUGUGAAAAAUCUGGAUAUAGAAAAAAAAAAGAAAGACUUCUUUUAAUUCUUCUUUUUGAGUUUCUGAGAGGAAUAUUCCAUCGAUUCUAACCAUAAUUUGAGAUCUUGGGUUAUUUCAGAAUUACGUUGUACAAAAAAGCCAAAUAAUUUGUGAAAAUAGUGCGAGAUAGUUAUGAAAAAUUAACUUGUUACUUCGUGCUCAAGCGCGAUAAAUAAUUUAAAAGUAAAAAUUAGAUACAGUUGAGAUUAAAUUAAAAAUGAAAUUUUAAUUGUUAAAUGCUUACCAUAUAUUGUAGUUUCAUUCAUAAGUUUUGUUUUCUUUUGCAUACAUUUAGACCAAACGAAAGUAAAUAUUAGUCGAAAGAAAUAAUUUACGUCAAUGAAAUAAAUAAUUAAAAUAAUCCAGAAACAAUAAUCCAACAUUCUGUCUUAUUAUUAUAAAAAUACCUAAGUAAAAAAAAUAUGCAAAUAAAGAAUGUUUUGUAAGCGAAAGAGUACGAAUAACGUGACUUAUUCCUCUGAUGACGAAGCAAGACUGAUCGACUUGGGCAUAGAUCAAAAAAACGUGACUUUCAUUGUUUUGUCUGUGUUGAACGCGUAAAUUCAAUGCCAGCUAGCAAUUUCUUACCGAUCAAUAAACGAUGAUUUUUUUUUAGUGACAAAAAUCAGGAUACAAAAUUAAAAAUAUUAAGAAAGUUAAACCUAAUCAUUUUUUAUAUGUAGAUAUUAUAAAAAUAAUACAUAAAAUAAUAAUUAUUUUGAGUUCGAAAACAUCAAUACUCUUCAUGGUUUAUUUAAUUUGUUUAGUUUAUACAAUAUAAUUAGAUGAUAUAAUAAGCGAAGUUUGAAUAAAAGCAUUUAAUAAAAAGAGAGUAAAAAAUUUCAAAUAAAAAAUAAAGAAAAUUUUAAAAAAUCGAUAUUGAUUUCUGUAAAUUCUUUAUUUUCUAAUAUUUUCUGGACGACAACAACAUCGAGAACAUAUUCACAACGUAGUAAUAAUUUUAUUACAGAACAAUCUAGAUAUAUAAUAACAAAGCGUAUUUCGCUACUCGCUAUUACUUUUUUUUUUGUUUUAUAUUUCUUUCUUUCGUUUUUAUUUCUCUAAACGAACUAUAAAUUUCAAUUUGUCGUCAAUUGUGCUAAUAUAGAAAUUCAUUUAUUUCAUAAAU